rnacentral:rRNA from 1 species
GGGUGAGUAAUACAUCGGAACGUGUCCUGUAGUGGGGGAUAGCCCGGCGAAAGCCGGAUUAAUACCGCAUACGACCUACGGGUGAAAGCGGGGGACCGCAAGGCCUCGCGCUACAGGAGCGGCCGAUGUCAGAUUAGCUAGUUGGUGGGGUAAAGGCCUACCAAGGCGACGAUCUGUAGCUGGUCUGAGAGGACGACCAGCCACACUGGGACUGAGACACAGCCCAGACUCCCACGGGAGGCAGCAGUGGGGAAUUUUGGACAAUGGGGGCAACCCUGAUCCAGCCAUGCCGCGUGCGGGAAGAAGGCCUUCGGGUUGUAAACCGCUUUUGUCGGGGAAGAAACGGUCUGCGCUAAUACCGCAGGCUUAUGACGGUACCCGAAGAAUAAGCACCGGCUAACUACGUGCCAGCAGCCGCGGUAAUACGUAGGGUGCAAGCGUUAAUCGGAAUUACUGGGCGUAAAGCGUGCGCAGGCGGCUUUGCAAGACAGAUGUGAAAUCCCCGGGCUCAACCUGGGAACUGCAUUUGUGACUGCAUGGCUGGAGUGCGGCAGAGGGGGAUGGAAUUCCGCGUGUAGCAGUGAAAUGCGUAGAUAUGCGGAGGAACACCGGUGGCGAAGGCAAUCCCCUGGGCCUGCACUGACGCUCAUGCACGAAAGCGUGGGGAGCAAACAGGAUUAGAUACCCUGGUAGUCCACGCCCUAAACGAUGUCAACUGGUUGUUGGACGGCUUGCUGUUCAGUAACGAAGCUAACGCGUGAAGUUGACCGCCUGGGGAGUACGGCCGCAAGGUUGAAACUCAAAGGAAUUGACGGGGACCCGCACAAGCGGUGGAUGAUGUGGUUUAAUUCGAUGCAACGCGAAAAACCUUACCUACCCUUGACAUGCCAGGAACUUACCAGGGAUGGUUUGGUGCUCGAAAGAGAGCCUGGACACAGGUGCUGCAUGGCCGUCGUCAGCUCGUGUCGUGAGAUGUUGGGUUAAGUCCCGCAACGAGCGCAACCCUUAUCAUUAGUUGCUACGCAAGGGCACUCUAAUGAGACUGCCGGUGACAAACCGGAGGAAGGUGGGGAUGACGUCAGGUCAUCAUGGCCCUUAUGGGUAGGGCUACACACGUCAUACAAUGGCCGGUACAGAGGGCUGCCAACCCGCGAGGGGGAGCUAAUCUCAGAAAACCGGUCGUAGUCCGGAUCGCAGUCUGCAACUCGACUGCGUGAAGUCGGAAUCGCUAGUAAUCGCGGAUCAGCUUGCCGCGGUGAAUACGUUCCCGGGUCUUGUACACACCGCCCGUCACACCAUGGGAGCGGGUUCUGCC